CGUCCUUGUUGUUGACUGCUGUAAAGACAACGCGGGUUUGUGAUAACUACCUAUGUUAUACCUACGUACCUAACCUUGCUUACAUCCCUAGCUCUUUCUAUGUUAAUUAGUUGGCAGUUGUUGUGCUCAUUUCAGAUGAGUCGUACAAUCUACAUGUAUAAAUUCCUAUUGAGGUUUUUGUCUUGACCCCCAAACUUCAGUUGCUAACCAUCGUGGUUACCUAUGCUGUACCAUCGUUUAAUAUUUAGUGUCAUGGCUAUGGACACAGUUAUACCUUACUUUCACCUUCACGAACUCGCUUAUCAGGACAAUGCGCGCAGGGGAUGGGAUUUGACGGGGGAAGGAGCAGCGUGUAAGCCACUGCUGAGUAAGCCACCCGUUGACCUCUUCUCCUUUUUUUUUUUUUCAUUUAAUGUGGGAUAACGAUGGUGGUAUCCCCAUUGAUGCUUUUAGAGGCAGGCUAUCAUCAGCAAAUUCAGGAUGGGGCUUAGGAUCAGGAUUAUCUGUUUGUAAGCGGAUGUCAUCUGUUGGUGGGGGAUGUAGAGCUGCAAACGUUCAAUUCUUCACAUGCAUCUUACCCCCCACGCACAACCCAAACAAAACACAUCCCACUCCCGUCAUUGAUGCUGAUCAUUCUGCUUACACCCUUCUUCAUGUUUGAUCAUGAGUGCGGUCCUUUCUAUGACCAUCCGAAGCCCCCCGGAAAUGGCAAUGCCGACCAUCGUGUAUAAUAUUGCAGCAGGGUCGCUGAUGUCAUAUGUCAGACGGGAUUUUCCGAAAAGAAAACCUUCUCUGAAGCUUACAAAGUUGUUUGUAACCGGCGUCUCUGGUCAAGGGUCUGCUAAGACUUGUACAAUAUCAAGCUGACAUCAGACGGGACGCGCGGGGGAAGGACAUUGAGAGAAGCUUGUUACAUGGUGGCUGGCAGUAUAAGCAGAUCAAAAAGUCAGAGUCAGUUAUGACAUAUGGCGGGUGGUUUGCAAAGUGAUUGUCUUGCUGGUUUAUCAGUGAGCACUGAAGCAGUCUGAGAUAAGAUUAGUAUGGUAGGGCUUUGUUCAGGAACCACGGUCAAGAAAGGAAGGAGCACAGAAGCAACUAUAACACAACUGUUCUGGAAGAAAGCUCGACUAGGAUGCGCUGAAGGCGGCAGAAGGGGCACUCGUGCCUUGCCCUGUACAUCGACAAGUUUGUGAUAGAAACAGUGAGUUGCCCCGUUUCCUUAUGCUCCGUUUUUGACAAAUGAGCCUGAAAACGUCGGGAGCCAGAUAAGAGC